GGUAGAUGGAACAACAAUUGACUGGAAAGUGUUCAUGCAGGUCCUAAAUUCACCAUGGGAUGUAUGCUACGAUCCCGCAGAGGAGGCCGUGUAUAUUGCAAUGGCUGGGCAACACCAGAUCUGGAAGCACAAUUUACAUGAUGGAGUAACCAAAGUUAUUAGCGGUGAUGGCUAUGAGAGGAAUCUGAAUGGCUCAAGAAAUGCAUGAGUUACUUGUUGCUGAUAGUGAAAGUAGUUCCAUUCGAGUUGUUAAUCUGAAGACAGGAGGCUCAAGAUUGCUGGCAGGAGGAGAUCCAGUAUUUCCAGAAUAUUUGUUUAGGUUUGGAGAUUAUGACGGGACUGGCUCAGAUGUGCUACUUCAACAUCCCUUGGGUGUUGUUUAUGCCAAUGACAAUCAAGUAUAUAUAGCUGAUUCCUACAACCGUAAGGUAG